GGCUGUUCCUCUGCCGCCUGGAGGUAUUUCCUCGCUCGCCGCAGCUCGUCCCAGUGAAUUGAAUUGACAAGUUCUGCGCUAGCUGCUGUUGCUCGAUGGAAUGAGUGCUAGAUCAAGCCGCUGGUUGUGUAACACUUGCAAUUAGUACACUGUUGUUUGGUUCAGUUUGUAGGUUCUCUGACCGAUUCUUGCUAGAAGUUGUGUCCAGUAAAUUUAGGUGGUUGUGUUCUUUAUUUUUUGGAGACUGGUUAAUUCCCUGCCAUGUAUGGAUGGAUUAGUGCUAGCCGACUGAGGUUGGAUUCGCGUGAACAGCUGGGCGUUGUAUUAGACCUGAGCAUACAGUAAUCCGUCGCCUCCUUUUCCAUGGAUGAUAACGAUGACGCCGUCUGCGUGCGUGUGGUUUUCCUCAUGAUGUCGUCAGGUGUCCCCAUCCAACGGUGCAGCGAAAAUGUCUUGACAGCAGUGUGGUCGGGACCAGGUCUCGAGCAUAUUGCUCCACCUAUCUCCUACCGUCCAUCGGCCGUCAGUGCAAAACAGCAGCUAACGGCAGGAAACAGUGCGAAAAUGCUUUUCGUACCACUGUGCACAGCUGCUCGGACGUGCUUUGAAAGGGACAUCUGGCCCACAACAACUGUUUACGGGUCCGGGGCUGCAACUGCGAAUGCUAAAUGGCUCGAAACGAAUUCAGUAGCUGCCUACCCCUGCGCAGUAUUAGGAACUCCACCAACCUCACAUUUAACUCCGCCAGACGCGCUCAACCUUCAUCUUGAUUUGCUCCAUCUCCAUCCGGUUUGCAUCUGCAAUAGCCGCAGCUAUGUACUCCAAAUAAUCACAUGCAUGGGCGGGAGUAGCAGCACUACAUGCGGACACCACACAUCACAUAUUACAAUUUAAAUGUCUUAGUUUCAUACUAUUUAGCUUCCUGCAUAGAUACUGUAGUGAAACAUUUCCGUACCACUUUUAUUGCGAGUCUUCGAUCGUUCGGGAGUUUAUUAUGUUUUUACUUGAGACUAUUUGAUAGAUUAUGAACCGCGUGCUGGUCUAGAUUGCAUAGUAAUCAUAAUUGAUAGUUAUAUUAAACUGCCUGUCUUGGAUGCCCUUAUAAACAAA